rnacentral:rRNA from 1 species
UACAGAGGUCUCAAGCGUUGUUCGGAUUCAUUGGGCGUAAAGGGUGCGUAGGCGGCGUGGUAAGUCGGAUGUGAAAUCUCGGAGCUUAACUCCGAAACUGCAUUCGAUACUGCCGUGCUUGAGGACUGGAGAGGAGACUGGAAUUUACGGUGUAGCGGUGAAAUGCGUAGAUAUCGUAAGGAAGACCAGUGGCGAAGGCGGGUCUCUGGACAAUUCCUGACGCUGAGGCACGAAGGCCAGGGGAGCAAACGGG